rnacentral:tRNA from 1 species
GCCUCGUUGGUGUAGUCCGGCUAAUCAUCCGGCCCUCUCGCGGCCGGGACCUGGGUUCAAAUACUUGGCGACGAUAGUUACUAGUUACGAAAAGCGCCAGGCUGAAUGUCCCAGACGAGGCA